rnacentral:rRNA from 1 species
AUUGAACGCUGGCGGGAGGCUUAACACAUGCAAGUCGAGCGAGCGGCGGAAGGGUGAGGAAUGUCUGGGAAACUGACUGAUGGAGGGGGAUAACUACUGGAAACGGUAGCAAAUACCGCAUACCAUACGAUGUGCCCAGAUGGGAUUAGCUAGUAGGUGGGGUAAUUGCUCACCUCGGCGACGAGCCCUAGCUGGUCUGAGAGGAUGACCAGCCACACUGGAACUGGUCCACGGUCCAGACUCCACCUAGAGGCAGCAGUGGGGAAUAUUGCACAAUGGGCGCAAGCCUGCUGCCGCCAUGCCGCGUGUGUGAAGAAGGCCUUCGGGUUGUAAAGCACUUUCAGCUAGGAGGCGUUACUCGCAGAAGAAGCACCGGCUAACUCCGUGCCAGCCGCCGCGGUAAUUC